UUCCCUCCGGCCUCCACUCCAUCUCCGCACCUGCUCACCUCUCUCUCUCUCUCUCUCUCUCUCUCUCUCUCUCUCUCUCUCUCCCAUUUCUUCUCAGGUUGAUUAUAUUGAAAGAAGAAGAGCUCAGUAGUCCAUUGCUGUUUCCAAAGGAAGAUUUGCUUUUUAUAGAACCCAGAGCAGUGGCGGACAUGGAUGCAGCUGGCUUUGAUUGUUUGUUUUGAUGAAAAUCGGAGUACGGAGAAGUCCAUUAAUACACCAUAUUAGAACCCUACUUACACAUUCUUCUUCCUUUGAUCCAUGCGGCAGUCCUGGGACAUGAAGGUGCAGCCCAAUUUCUGUCCCACACCACCUUCUUUGCCCUCCAUUCAUGGCAUGUCUCCUUUAUUUUUGGUUUGCUCAAGUCGCCUCAAAGGCAGCCUGAAGUAUUUUAGUGGUCCGUGUAGUGUUAUGCGAAACAAUGAUGUGAAGGAGGUAAUAGCAAUGAAGAAUAAUAAUUCUGUUGCUAUGCCAACGAAAGAGUCUGCAAGUGGAGAAGAACUCUCUGCUGAAUCAUACAACUACUGUAUUUGUGACACUUGCAAAGUUGGGAAUAUUGAUGAUGCCAUGACUCUUCUUGCUCAAAUGGAGUCUCUGGGUUGUCGUCCUAAUUACUCAUCGUACACUUCUUUGAUUGAAGCUCUGUUAAAUGUGGGCAGGACUUUGGAAGCUGAUGCUUUAUUUCAAGAGAUGGUAUGUUUUGGGUUGAAGCCAAGACUAAGAUUGUACAACAUAAUGCUUAGGGGGCUUUUGAAGAAAGGACUCUUAGGGCUUGCAGAUAGGGUAUUAAAGAUGAUGGAAGAAUUGGGUGUUUCUAGAAAUCAAGAAACUUAUGAGAUCCUUUUGGAUUACAAUGUCAAUGCUGGGCGGUUAGAAGAUACUUGGUCCUUAAUCAAUGAAAUGAAGGUGAAGGGUUUUCAGCUCAAUUCAUUUGUCUACAGUAAGGUUAUUGGUCUUUAUAGAGAUAAUGGGAUGUGGAAGAAAGCAAUAGGCAUCAUUGAAGAGAUCAGGGAGAUGGGGAUUCCAGUUGACAAGCAUAUUUAUAACAGCAUUAUUGAUACCUUUGGUAAGUAUGGUGAGCUGGAAGAAGCCUUGGAAGUGUUUUCAGAAAUGCAACAACAGGGUAUAAGGCCUGAUAUCGUGACCUGGAAUUAUUUAAUCCACUGGCAUUGCAAAUCUGGAAAGCUCAGUAAAGCUCUUCAUUUGUUAGCUAAGAUGCAGGAAAAAGGGUUUUAUCCUGAUCCUAAGAUCUUUAUCACCAUCAUAGGUGGCUUGGCAGAGCAGGGAAAGUGGGACACUAUAAAGGAAAACUUUGAGAUUAUGAAAUCAUGGGGGCAUAAAGAAAGCGGGGCCAUUUAUGCUAUCCUUGUUGAUAUUUACGGGCAAUAUGGUAAAUUUCAGGAUGCUGAAGAGUGCAUAUCUGCUUUAAUGUCAGAAGGCAUUCGACCUUCAGCUAGCAUGUUUUGCGUGUUAGCAAAUGCUUAUGCUCAGCAGGGAUUAUGUGACCAGACAGUGAAGGUGCUUCAGCUUAUGGAAGCAGAAGGAAUUGAACCAAAUCUCGUAAUGCUGAAUGUAUUGAUCAAUGCUUUUGGUGUUGCUGGGAAGCAUAUGGAGGCAUUAUCUAUUUAUCACCUUAUGAAAGAAAAUGGUAUAAGUCCUGAUGUGGUUACAUAUAGUACACUUAUGAAGGCCUUUAUUCGAGCGAGGAAGUUUGAUAAGGUUCCUCAAAUAUAUAAUGAGAUGGAGUCUUCUGGAUGCACUCCUGACAGAAAGGCUAGAGAGAUAUUACAGACUGCACUAAUCGUCCUUGAACGGCGGCACUGCAAGUCUGAUAUUUCUGGGGAAUCCAGAUUGAUGUUGCUGAACUGAGGUGUAUUUUGUUGUCCUGUCCCAAUUAAUCUUAUAAUUGGGCAUCAUAUAUAUCUUGCUUUUGCGUAGAGAUGCAGCCUUCUGAAUAGCCGUAUGGUUGUCAAAUAUUACAUCUCACGUGGAAAUAGAGCAUCAUGGUUGAAGCAUCCUCUGUCUUAGUAAAGUCUGCUGCAAUUGUCUAUUCCCAAGCCCCAAUUCUAGAUUUCUGCUUCAAAAGCUUUGUGUGCAUCCAAAAUUCAACUUCAGGCAAGAUGUUGAGAUGUCCUUAUCUCUAUCAAACUAAUUGUUCAUAUCACCUCUCAAACCCUUUUCCUUUUCUUUUUGGGAACCUAAAGUACAGAGCAUUUUAGUUUUAAGGAAAUAAAAAUGUUGGAAAACAGAAAUGGGAUAUCAAACAGACUGACACUCUUGAUCAGUCUAUUUCUUGGAGAUCUAUGCAAUGUGAAGAAACUUGUACGAGUGAUAUAUUUCUUGAUGC